CUCCUACUUCCUCCGUCCAAUAGAGGAUGUUUCAAAUUUGACUAAAUUUGAAUGCAUCUAUACACUAAGUUAUGUCUAAAUACAUCUAAAUUUUGACAAACUUGAGACAUCCUUUGUUGAACAGAAGGAGUAAUUU
rfam:Brachypodium distachyon strain Bd21 chromosome 5, whole genome shotgun sequence.